rnacentral:lncRNA from 1 species
GUGUCAUUAGGCUGUUGCUGUGACAUCAUAGAGCAAGCUUACACAAACCUAGAUGGUCUAGGCUACAUCAGUCACUCCACAGAACCUCUCAGUGCAACCGAGAGACAUGGUAAACAGAUGUAUGAGGCCCUGCAGUUGCUGUCACACAACACGUUACAGAACAUUUUUUAUACACCGGUUCCAAGAUUAUGUCACACUAACCCUUCUUAUGCUCAAGAAUUACAAAAUAAAGAUGGUGAUAUGGAAUUCAUUGCUAAAGUGCCUUGGAAUAUGAAAUUGAAUCUAUAAAACACUGAUGUAAUGCUAUGAGCUCAUAAUAUAAACAGAUACCAAAU